rnacentral:rRNA from 1 species
CAGCAGCCGCGGUAAUACGUAGGUGGCAAGCGUUAUCCGGAAUUAUUGGGCGUAAAGCGCGCGCAGGCGGUUUCUUAAGUCUGAUGUGAAAGCCCACGGCUCAACCGUGGAGGGUCAUUGGAAACUGGGGAACUUGAGUGCAGAAGAGAAAAGCGGAAUUCCACGUGUAGCGGUGAAAUGCGUAGAGAUGUGGAGGAACACCAGUGGCGAAGGCGGCUUUUUGGUCUGUAACUGACGCUGAGGCGCGAAAGCGUGGGGAGCAAACAGGAUUAGAUACCCCUGUAGUCCCUGUCUCUUAUAC